AGCAGCCGCGGUAAUUCCAGCUCCAAUAGCGUAUAUUAAAGUUGUUGCAGUUAAAAAGCUCGUAGUUGAAUUUCGGGAUCGACGGGUCGGUCGCGCCUCCGGUGUGUACUGGCCCUGUCGGUUUCUCCCUUCUGACGAACCACGAUGUCAUUAAUUUGAUGUCGUGAGGAAUCAGGACUGUUACUUUGAAAAAAUUAGAGUGUUUAAAGCAGGCAUUCGCUUGAAUACAUUAGCAUGGAAUAAUGAAAUAGGACGUUUGAUCUUAUUUUGUUGGUUUCUAAGAUCGACGUAAUGAUUAAUAGGGAUAGUUGGGGGCAUUAGUAUUCAAUUGUCAGAGGUGAAAUUCUUGGAUUUAUUGAAGACUAACUACUGCGAAAGCAUUUGCCAAGGAUGUUUUCAUUAAUCAAGAACGAAAGUUAGGGGAUCGAAGACGAUCAGAUACCGUCGUAG
rnacentral:rRNA from 1 species